CACUCCUACGGGAGGCAGCAGUGGGGAAUUUUGGACAAUGGGCGAAAGCCUGAUCCAGCAAUGCCGCGUGAGUGAAGAAGGCCUUCGGGUUGUAAAGCUCUUUUGUCAGGGAAGAAACGGUGAGAGCUAAUAUCUCUUGCUAAUGACGGUACCUGAAGAAUAAGCACCGGCUAACUACGUGCCAGCAGCCGCGGUAAUACGUAGGGUGCAAGCGUUAAUCGGAAUUACUGGGCGUAAAGCGUGCGCAGGCGGUUUUGUAAGUCUGAUGUGAAAUCCCCGGGCUCAACCUGGGAAUUGCAUUGGAGACUGCAAGGCUAGAAUCUGGCAGAGGGGGGUAGAAUUCCACGUGUAGCAGUGAAAUGCGUAGAUAUGUGGAGGAACACCGAUGGCGAAGGCAGCCCCCUGGGUCAAGAUUGACGCUCAUGCACGAAAGCGUGGGGAGCAAACAGGAUUAGAUACCCCGGUAGUCCC
rnacentral:rRNA from 1 species